rnacentral:tRNA from 1 species
GUGGCUAUAGCUCAGUUGGUAGAGCCUUGGAUUGUGAUUCCAAUGGUCGUGGGUUCGAGCCCCAUUAGCCACCCCA